rnacentral:misc_RNA from 1 species
UGACAACAGGAAGGGCUACAAGGCCGGAGCACUGAGAGAGGGGAUGAAGCACGGCUAUGUCAACCAAUGUGAUUAUGUUGUGAUCUUCGAUGCCGACUUCCAACCUGAUCCGGAUUAUCUUUGGCGAGCAAUUCCUUUCUUGGUUCACAAUCCAAAAAUUGCCCUCGUCCAGGGCCGAUGGGUGUUUGUGAAUGCUGAUGAGAACCUGAUGACAAGGAUGCAGG